rnacentral:rRNA from 1 species
UACAGAGGUCUCAAGCGUUGUUCGGAUUCAUUGGGCGUAAAGGGUGCGUAGGCGGCUCUAUAAGUAUGGUGUGAAAUCUCCCGGCUUAACUGGGAGGGUGCGCUAUAGACUGUGGGGCUAGAGUGUGGGAGAGGAAAGUGGAAUUCCUGGUGUAGCGGUGAAAUGCGUAGAUAUCAGGAGGAACACCGGUGGUGUAAACGGCUUUCUGGACCAUAACUGACGCUGAGGCACGAAAGCGUGGGUAGCAAACAGG